rnacentral:siRNA from 1 species
ACAAAUGAACACUUAAUCCGUGCA